rnacentral:rRNA from 1 species
AGUGAACGUUGGCGGCGUGCCUAACACAUGCAAGUCGAGCGCGUUUCGGGGGCAACCCCGGGAUGAGCGGCGAACGGGUGAGUAACACGUGGGUAAUCUCCCCCCGAGUGAGGAAUAAGCCCCGAAACGGGGGUCGUAAUACUGCAUAAUACCCAGGGGCAUAAGCUUCCUGGGUCAAAGCCGUAAGGCGCUUGGGGAUGAGCCUGCGUCCUAUUAGCUAGUUGGUAGGGUAACGGCCUACCAAGGUUAUGAUGGGUAGCCGGCCUGAGAGGGUGUUCGGCCACACUGGGACUGAGACACGGCCCAGACUCCUACGGGUGGCAG